rnacentral:rRNA from 1 species
AUUGAACGCUGGCGGCAUGCCUAACACAUGCAAGUCGAACGGCAGCACAGCAGUAGCAAUACUGUGGGUGGCGAGUGGCGGACGGGUGAGUAAUGCAUCGGGACCUACCCAGACGUGGGGGAUAACGUAGGGAAACUUACGCUAAUACCGCAUACGUCCUACGGGAGAAAGCAGGGGAUCUUCGGACCUUGCGCGGUUGGACGGACCGAUGUGCGAUUAGCUAGUUGGUAAGGUAAUGGCUUACCAAGGCGACGAUCGCUAGCUGGUCUGAGAGGAUGAUCAGCCACACUGGAACUGAGACACGGUCCAGACUCCUACGGGAGGCAGCAGUGGGGAAUAUUGGACAAUGGGCGCAAGCCUGAUCCAGCAAUGCCGCGUGUGUGAAGAAGGCCCUCGGGUUGUAAAGCACUUUUAUCAGGAACGAAAUACCACGGGCUAAUACCCCAUGGGGCUGACGGUACCUGAGGAAUAAGCACCGGCUAACUACGUG